rnacentral:lncRNA from 1 species
UACCAUGUGUCCCAGGUAACGUUAGCCAAACUGUUCAACGAAAAAGAAGAUUUAGAAAACACGUGGCAAGACUCGAUCU